rnacentral:rRNA from 1 species
GAUGAACGCUGGCGGCGUGCUUAACGCAUGCAAGUCGAACGAGAAGUGAAGACGGAAACCUUCGGGCGGAAGGCUUUAUUUCGAGUGGCGGACGGGUGAGUAACGCGUGGGUAACCUGCCUCAUACAGGGGGAUAACAGUUGGAAACGACUGUUAAUACCGCAUAAGACCACAGCACCGCAUGGUGCGGGGGUAAAAACUCCGGUGGUAUGAGAUGGACCCGCGUUCGAUUAGCCAGUUGGCGGGGUAACGGCCCACCAAAGCGACGAUCGAUAGCCGAUCUGAGAGGAUGACCGGCCACAUUGGGACUGAGACACGGCCCAAACUCCUACGGGAGGCAGCAGUGGGGAAUAUUGCACAAUGGGGGAAACCCUGAUGCAGCGACGCCGCGUGAGUGAAGAAGUAUUUCGGUAUGUAAAGCUCUAUCAGCAGGGAAGAAAAUGACGGUACCUGAGGAAGAAGCCCCGGCUAACUACGUG